GCUGUGCACUGAAGACGGACACUGAUCCCUGAGUCAGGAUGAACCACAACGGGCAUCUCGCAGGCACGUCCCCCCACAGAGCAGCCAUCCACUGACAACUGGCAGUCCUCCGAUGUUGAGACAAUAUAAACACGCCUAAGGUAAAUGCAGGAUUUUGUCAUCCUUGGCAGAGGACACAUCACCUGCCAAUCCCAGCUGGUUACUCAGCAAGGAAGAUCUCCUGCCCUGCAAAGAAGCAACUUUCAAACUCAUGAAACAAGUGAAAGCUUACCAUAAUAAACAAAAUAUAUAUUUUUUAAAUAUAAGAAAUUAAAUGUUUGUUAUCCUAUCCAA